CCUCCGGGCGGCAGCAGUGGGGAAUAUUGCACAAUGGGCGAAAGCCUGAUGCAGCAACGCCGCGUGAAGGAAGACGGUUUUCGGAUUGUAAACUUCUGUUCUUAGUGAAGAAUAAUGACGGUAACUAAGGAGCAAGCCACGGCUAACUACGUGCCAGCAGCCGAGGUAAUACGUAGGUGGCAAGCGUUGUCCGGAAUUACUGGGUGUAAAGGGAUCGUAGGCGGGAAGCCAAGUCAGCUGUGAAAACUACGGGCUUAACCUGUGGACUGCAGUUGAAACUGGCUUUCUUGAGUGAAGUAGAGGUUGGCGGAAUGCGGGGUGUAGCGGUGAAAUGCAUAGAUAUUCGGAAGAACACCGAUGGCGAAGGCAGCCCACUGGGCUUUAACUGACGCUGAGGCUCGAAAGUGUGGGGAGCAAACAGGAUUAGAUACCCCAGUAGUC
rnacentral:rRNA from 1 species